CAAGUCGAACGGUAACAGGUCUUCGGAUGCUGACGAGUGGCGAACGGGUGAGUAAUACAUCGGAACGUGCCCGAGAGUGGGGGAUAACGAAGCGAAAGCUUUGCUAAUACCGCAUACGAUCUCAGGAUGAAAGCAGGGGACCGCAAGGCCUUGCGCUCACGGAGCGGCCGAUGGCAGAUUAGGUAGUUGGUGGGAUAAAAGCUUACCAAGCCGACGAUCUGUAGCUGGUCUGAGAGGACGACCAGCCACACUGGGACUGAGACACGGCCCAGACUCCUACGGGAGGCAGCAGUGGGGAAUUUUGGACAAUGGGCGCAAGCCUGAUCCAGCCAUGCCGCGUGCAGGAUGAAGGCCUUCGGGUUGUAAACUGCUUUUGUACGGAACGAAAAGACUCUGGUUAAUACCUGGGGUCCAUGACGGUACCGUAAGAAUAAGCCCCGGCUAACUACGUGCCAGCAGCCGCGGUAAUACGUAGGGUGCGAGCGUUAAUCGGAAUUACUGGGCGUAAAGCGUGCGCAGGCGGUUAUGUAAGACAGAUGUGAAAUCCCCGGGCUCAACCUGGGAACUGCAUUUGUGACUGCAUAGCUAGAGUACGGCAGAGGGGGAUGGAAUUCCGCGUGUAGCAGUGAAAUGCGUAGAUAUGCGGAGGAACACCGAUGGCGAAGGCAAU
rnacentral:rRNA from 1 species